rnacentral:lncRNA from 1 species
GAGAGGUAAUUCGUCCAACUUUUGUGUGCUCAUAAAUGGGACAUUCGAGACUGGGAAAACAAGUGAUACGCAACCGAAUGACGUGAAUGCCAAGAAUAAAUGUCAACGUUGACAACCCGGAAGAAUCUAAACGAAGAGUUUACUCAGGUGCAGAUAUACAAUUCCAGAGUGUGGCCACUAAACACUGAUCCUCUUACAAGGUCUGGUAAUUAUUAUAAGCCAAAAUCAGUGGUGGGGAAAGGAUUACGUGAAAAGCAAAGGGUUGUUACCUAAUAAAUAAAGUCAGAUUCUGUUAAUCCUUCUCGUAUUUAGCUCGGUGACCAGCGCGAUCGAAGACUGUUAAUCUUACCAACUACACCACUUCCGGAUGGUUAAACUGUUUUAUGAGGAUUUAAACAACAAUCUGAUGUUCAGAGUGCCGAAAGUUUGGCAGUAAACAUCAUAGCCAGGACCCGUAAUAGACCAGCACUACCACCUGAUUUAUUUGUGUAGCAGGGACCGGAACGAAGCGAUCGAUGUUUCUCUCCUCAUGGUCAAUCAUGCCGUUCCCUUUGGAAUUUUUGGGAACUACGACGAAAGAUGCCGCAGCAAGAUCGAUAACUCCUCAUUAAAAUUCUAAUGGAUUCAAAUGAAAACGGAGCGCACAGCAAGACACGCACUUUUCUCAACCCCGUAUUGUUAUCAUCACCAUCAUCUGUCGUAUAAUCAUUAUUAAAAACAAAUUAUUGGUGAGUAUAAUCAAUAUAGGCAGUCCAAUUAAAAGAGAUAAAUUCGUGUUUUUCGGUUGUUUUAAAAACAUUCCGUGGUUUAAUUGUGCUCUACAAAGGAAGAAGGUACACGUUUAUUCUAUCCAAGCUACCUGUAUAUGCCUGCUGCUUACUCCAUCACGUCAUUUAUGACCUUUAUUCGACUGAAUCAAUCAACAGUGUCUUUGGUGAUCAAUGACUGGAAUGUGAUUGACCUUGCGCCACCAACCGAGAGAGUCGGCUGUAUAAAAACGAACGAUGGUAGAAAGUCGUUCACUGUGCAACCCCAAAAAAGGAAUCGAACACGCAUUAGGCUGCUAUACACACAAGGAAAGCUUUUAGAAUUUCUUCUUCUGGCGGAAACAUGUUAGAGCCCAUCGCGUGCAGCUCAAAGCGGGAAAGCCUCGGGAGAGUGCUGGCUGUACACUCUAUAAAAAGGGUGAUACCUAUCGUGUGUGUGAAAACAAAUACUCUCCCGACAACAACGUCGUAAGUAGCUGGCGCUUUUAGAUUUCGGCUUUCAACAGAACAUGGCCGGCUUCUGCGCAAUUGUUUUAAUAGUUUUGCCUGGCUGGACGGCUGGCGUGAUUGCUGCCAACCUAAGGAGUUAUCGACCAACUUUAUCCGCAGAGGAGCAAAUGGAGCUAGUGGCAGAAAAUUUUGUCCUUAGCGGAUUUCCUGAUAACGAACCCACGCCAGUUGAUUUCCAAGCAAAAGGAGACAUGACUAUCAUCGAUGAAGGCCCAGUUUUCACGACGAGGAUUUCGUGGGAUGUUGAAAUCGUGAACGUGAGUGACUGAAUGGAUUCGACCACUGGAAACUUCGUGGCACCAAAGUCAGGAAGUCAUUUUUUCGAGCCGAGUGGUGUUUUGGUGUAUCGAGAUUAACUAGCGGAGACCAAGAAAUCAAAAGAACGUUUGCAAUACAAGCUACGCUUCGUUUCAAAAAGGGAGAUGUAGUGACUGGUAGUGACAAGAUAAAUAAAAUUGCGCUUCAUUUUUCGAUGGUGAAAUUCAUCUACCACUGAAUAGCCGACUCCUACAGGAAGAAUUUACCCAUGAUUUACUGCAAUUUGAAUGGAAAUGUAUUUUGUAUUUUUGUUUCAGAUUAUUUCAAUACAAAUCUAUUUCUAUUCUUUA